rnacentral:rRNA from 1 species
UAAUAGUGUAUAUUAAAGUUGUUGCAGUUAAAAAGCUCGUAGUUGAAUGUUGGUGUCGAACGAGCGGUCAGCUUCGGCUGUACUGCUCUCUCGACUCCUUCCUUCUGUGGACUACGUCGCACUUUACUGUGUGGCGCUAGGACGCAGAUCGUUUACUGUGAAAAAAUUAGAGUGUUCAAAGCAGGCCGUACGCUUGAAUACAUUAGCAUGGAAUAAUGGAAUAGGACGUCGGGCCUAUUUUGUUGGUUCUAGGACCGUCGUAAUGAUUAAUAGGGACAGUUGGGGCCGUUUAUAUUCCGUAGUCGGAGGUGAAAUUCUUGGAUUUACGGAAGAUAAACUACUGCGAAAGCAUUCGGCAAGGAUGUUUUCGUUAA